rnacentral:lncRNA from 1 species
UCGAUUAGAGAGGCAGUCCCGCCACACCUCGCUCUGUUUACUACGUGCCGCACGAUACAGAUUGUCCACGCCAGCCAAUAUAUUGCGAAAUGAAAAUACAUUUAGAGCUGUGCUUAAACUUUGCGUUAAGAAG